rnacentral:rRNA from 1 species
GACGAACGCUGGCGGCGUGCCUAACACAUGCAAGUCGAGCGGAGUCGAUCGACGGAAGCCUUCGGGCGGAAGAUGGUUGACUUAGCGGCGGAUGGGUGAGUAACGCGUGGGCAACCUGCCUCGAAGACCGGGAUAACAGCCCGAAAGGGCUGCUAAUACCGGAUGUGGUCAAGGAUCCGCAUGGAUUUUUGAUUAAAGGGGAAACCCGUUUCGAGAUGGGCCCGCGUCCUAUCAGCUAGUUGGUGAGGUAAAAGCUCACCAAGGCGACGACGGGUAGCCGGCCUGAGAGGGUGACCGGCCACACUGGAACUGAGACACGGUCCAGACUCCUACGGGGGGCAGCAGUGGGGAAUCUUCCACAAUGGGCGAAAGCCUGAUGGAGCGACGCCGCGUGAGCGAAGAAGGCCUUCGGGUUGUAAGACUCUGUCUGGAGGGACGAAGGAAGUGACGGUACCUCCGGAGGAAGCCACGGCUAACUACGUG